AUGAAGCUAGGUAUAGCAUGUUAUGUUUGUUUUUUUCUUAAAUUUAUAUGUAAAAUACACAACAUGUUUACAAUGAAAAUUCUCUUUAAUGUUUUAGUGUUAUUACAGAUCAAAAUGACAGAUCAAAACAAAGAGCAGUGUGGUGUUGCCAAGAAUCUAAAGAGAGACACUGAAACUGCCGCUGAUAAUUUGAGCCUCGAGACAAACAAAGUCACAAACCCACAGACACAAAAAGAUAAAGGUGAACCCUCGUUUCACACAUUACACUCUACUUUCAUUGACAACAAUACUCUGCAGCCUCUAUAUGAUUCCGUAGAUUCAGGAGAAUGCAGCUUCAUGGUGCAAGCUACUCUGUCAGAUCCAGCUUUAACUCCUCAGGAAUGCCAAUAUUCUGCAAUUAAGUGGUGAAAUCAGUGAAAGGAGUGUCAGCUCAAUCAAGGAGAUUGUGCAACCCGUUUACUGUGCUGUUUCAUUUGCUAAGACUGGGUCACAUUUCUUAAAUAUUCAUCUCGGGGUACCUUUUCAGUCUGUGUAUAUUUGGAAUAAGACGAGUUGAGUUAAAUGUGAGUAAAAUUCAAAAACAUGCUUUACAACAUAUUUUUUUAGCUUGGUUGUGUUAUUGUCAUGGUCCCUGCGGAGGGAUAGAGUUUUGUGUGCGAGGGAUACCCUGUGAGGAGUGAGGGGAGCGGAGCGUGUGUGGAGAUCUUGUAUUUCCCUGACCCUGUGGACCCCUGGAACCCUGGACCCCUGGCCUUUCCCCCCCACAUAUAUAUAGUGCACCCGGUGUGGAUUAAUAAAGAACUGUUUAACUGUAUCUCUCAGUGUGCGCCUGAAUCCGUCCUGCCUGUCUUGACAGUUACAGUGAAAAUAUUGUGUUGUAAUGCAAACAAAUGAAAUUCAAAAAAAUGAUGCAAUAAUUAAUUAUCAUGUAGCCACAAGAUAAUUCGUUUGAUGUAAUGUAAAUAAAUGUGGAAUCGCUUAACAAAUUUUUUGUCAGGAUUUCUCAUUUGUCAUGAUUUAAUGUUGCAGUCUUUGCUUUGUUUCAUGAUUUCUACAAAAGAAAAUUAAAAUUAACUUAUAAAUUUCAUUUCCAGAUACAAAUUCUGUUUACAUAUCAUACCCCUUCUUUCUCUUGUGAAAAGAGAUGUAAUUAAAUGAUAAUG
ensembl:lncRNA